GGAGAGGUGGCUGAGUGGUUGAAAGCGCCGCUCUCGAAAAGCGGUAGGGCUGCAAAGUCCUCGUGGGUUCAAAUCCCACCCUCUCCGCCA
rnacentral:tRNA from 1 species